UACGUAGGGUGCGAGCGUUGUCCGGAAUUACUGGGCGUAAAGAGCUCGUAGGUGGUUUGUCGCGUUGUCCGUGAAAACUCACAACUCAAUUGUGGGCGUGCGGGCGAUACGGGCAGACUGGAGUACUGCAGGGGAGACUGGAAUUCCUGGUGUAGCGGUGGAAUGCGCAGAGUAUCAGGAGGAACACCGGUGGCGAAGGCGG
rnacentral:rRNA from 1 species